AAAUCUAAAUUUAUACUAUAAAAAUUAAGAAUUUUAAAGAAUUUAAUCAACGCGUCGACAAUGUGUGUUGUCAGUACUUUUUUCGAAAAUCGCGUAUUGACAUGUCCGACACAACGUACUUGUCGUGUCAGUGCAUCAUAGGAUGCAAGCAUAUCCACAACACAACACAUUAGCCUCCGAUAAACACACUAACUACAAAAUAACUAAGGUGCUUAAUAUGAUAAGCUGGUAUGACAACUACCAUGGUUGAAAAUUACCUAUCAAAUCCUCUAACCUAAACCUUUUACCUUUUCUGGAUGACCGGCCAGUUUAAUAAACUUUGAGGGGAUGGGGUUGCCAAAAUCUACAGGGAGACAGGUGCUGGGGUAGGGGAUAAUUUGUUUAUUUUUAUUUUUUGAUUUCUUUUCUUUUCUUUCUAUUCCCAUUUUUAUUUAUUUUUAAUAAAAUUAACGAGUUUACCCUUUCUAUCUCUCACAACAAUACUCCACAUACCUUGCAUGUGACAUUUAAAUGGUGAAGCGGAUGAUUUCUGUCUGUUGGGGACCAAGGUGGACCUAUUUGCACAAAUUUAAAAGGUUGAGGGAUCUCCGCUGCAAUUUCCCCUUAAAUCGUUGGCACCUGACCUUUUCCUGUAGACGACGAUCGUGGUUAACACUGUUUAGUCAAGCAACAUUACAGGAUAAAUUUGGUAACGAAAUAAAGAAGGUUAUAGACACCUUGAGGGGAGAGGAUUUAGGGCCGGAUGGGAUAUGACGAGCAGCAAGUCUACAACAUCUAACCAUAGUGUUUUCCCAAGGGAGAAAUAUUUUGCUGCCUCCAGUGAAUAAAUUUGAUAGAGUAUAGUGAGAUGUAGAUAAUCUCUUGUAAAUUAGAUCUUUGGAAAGCGAGAAGCAUUGCAUAAAAAUGCACAGAAAAUCAGUUAUUAUUUUUUGUUAUUAAUCUGUUGCUAGGUGUGUAAUUAUGCAUAUUCUGUGACCAAACUAGGAGUCCUGAAUCUUGCUUGCUUUCUUUCA